UACGUAGGUGGCAAGCGUUAUCCGGAAUUACUGGGCGUAAAGCGCACGCAGGCGGUCUCUUAAGUUUGACGUGAAAGCUCCCGGCUUAACUGGGAGAGGUCGUUGAAGACUGGGAGACUUGAGGCAAGGAGAGGGGUGUAGAAUUCCCGGUGUAGUGGUGGAAUGCGUAGAUAUCGGGGGGAAUACCAGUGGCGAAAGCGACACCCUAGCCUUAGCCUGACGCUCAGGUGCGAAAGCGUGGGGAGCGAACGGG
rnacentral:rRNA from 1 species